ACUCCUGCGGGAGGCAGCAGUGGGGAAUAUUGGACAAUGGGCGCAGGCCUGAUCCAGCCAUGCCGCGUGAGUGAUGAAGGCCCUAGGGUUGUAAAGCUCUUUCACCGGUGAAGAUAAUGACGGUAACCGGAGAAGAAGCCCCGGCUAACUUCGUGCCAGCAGCCGCGGUAAUACGAAGGGGGCUAGCGUUGUUCGGAUUUACUGGGCGUAAAGCGCACGUAGGCGGACUAUUAAGUCAGGGGUGAAAUCCCGGGGCUCAACCCCGGAACUGCCUUUGAUACUGGUAGUCUUGAGUUCGAGAGAGGUGAGUGGAAUUCCGAGUGUAGAGGUGAAAUUCGUAGAUAUUCGGAGGAACACCAGUGGCGAAGGCGGCUCACUGGCUCGAUACUGACGCUGAGGUGCGAAAGCGUGGGGAGCAAACAGGAUUAGAAACCCGGGUAGUCCCAUGAU
rnacentral:rRNA from 1 species